rnacentral:lncRNA from 1 species
AUCCUUAAUCCAAAUUGAAUGGGAGUUUUUGCAUUGAUCUCCAUUUUUCCUCUAGUUUUUUACUAGCAUGAUAGCAAAAGUUGUUCACGGUUUGUUUUUAUUUUGGUCUAAUGGUUUUGUUCAUGUAUGCUUUUUGCCUAUGCUUUGCCAUUUUGAUUGUGAAAUCAUGAUGCUUGAUCCAAAAUUCUUGAAAUUUUACAUG